CGUCGUUAAUGUUUUUUUUUUUUUUUUUUUUUUUUUGUUUUGCAGGGUCUAUGGAGUACUCCAGAGCGGGGGUUUGUGAUUUUUUUUCUCCCGCCAACACUACAUGUACACAGUUUCGACGACGCUUCAAAACAUAACUUCGGAACGUCCAUCAACCUCAUUCCCAAAAGGUAUUUGCUAUUUCGUUGGGCGUAGACACUCCCAAGGUUACAUGUGCAUGGAAAUUUGGUAUUAAAUGUGUUUGCUUCAUUUAUUUAUUUCAAAUUGAUUUCAAUCACUUAUUUGGUUUGCUUUCUACGGUCCAUUAUUAGGCAAAUUAUGCUUCUUUCUUGAGUUUUGAAACCGUAGCAAUUGAUACAAAGAGUACUUUGAUAUUUUAUUUAAAUUUAAUUAUUUUUAUUGGUUUGGUAAAA